AUUGCUUCUCGGCCUUUUAUGGCUAAGAUCAAGUGUAGUAUCUGUUCUUAUCAGUUUAAUCUGGUUCAUUCAGAUUUAUUACUGAGGCAGGUGACUAUACCAUCU
rnacentral:snRNA from 1 species